rnacentral:lncRNA from 1 species
UUUUUGUUUGAAUUUAUAUUUCUAGGCUUACUCCAUAGCCUGAUACAUAAUAAGUCCUUAAAAUUAUCCAUUUAGCGUUCUGUCUCUUCCAUACUUGCUUUCCUCCUUCCUUACUUCUAAUGUUUCAAAGAUCAUAUAGUAAGCAUUAGAUCCAGUAUUCCAAUCUGAGUACCUUGACACCAGAGACAUUUUCCACUGGAUAGCAUUAAUCUAGAAGCAUCUUAGAAUCCCCACAUUCUACAUAGGGGAAACAGGCUCAAAGGAAAAGUGAUUUGCUAAUCAAUCAGUAAGUGCCUACUAUAUGUCUAAAACUAGGGGCAAAACGUAGGAAUAAAGAUGUCCUCUAACUUUCUGUUGCUUGUGGUUACAUCACAAUUGUGAUUCUCUGAUUUCAAGACAUAGGAGAGUUCUAGAGUUGGAAGAGACCAUAGAGACCACAAAUCUAAUCCCCUCAUAUCAUAUUUGAGGAAGCCAACUCUCUUAGAGGUUGUGGCUCACCCAAGCUUAUGCUAGGACUAGGCAUCAGGGGUAGUAUAGUUUGUUUGAAAUAAACAAAAGGAGAAUGGUUUUAAGGGUUAUGAAAUACUUAGCUCUGUAUCUCUUCUCCUUGUGAUCUCAACUAGGUAAAUUUAUUGUAACCAACAAAUUGUUGAAUUCUGGUUUCUAAUGCAUUCUGCUAUCUACUUCCAUUUUAUGGGUAAGAGCUGGGGAGCAGGUGACACUAAAGGAGGAAAGCAGCCAUGUAAGAGGCAAAGUAAGAACUCACAGAAGAGGUACUAUUCACAUUAGUCAUUCUUACAUAGCUGAGGCAUGAGAGAAAUGGGAUUCAAAUCCAGUUCUUUUUAGCUCUGCGUUCAACUCUAGCCACUCUACCAUGUUACUACAUUAAAUAAUUAAAAG